GGCGAGCGAACAGGGAUCAGCGCAGCGCCNAGUCCCAACACUCGACGUGUUUGGGAGAUGCGGCGUUAAUGCGUUUGUGUAUCGUUCACUGACAUGUGUUUCAAGUUCCCUUGACAGGGACUCCCAGAGUGGGUGCUAGGCCCAUGGAGACACGAGUCUGGUGGACGCAGACAGGCGUAUUCUAGAGUCAGGUUGCUUGAGAGUGCAGCCUAAAGCAGGUGGUAAACUCCAUCUAAGGCUAAAUAUUACAGCGAGACCGAUAGCAAACAAGUACUGUGAAGGAAAGUUGCAAAGAACUUUGAAGAGAGAGUUCAACAGGACGUGAAACCACUAACAGGCAAACGGAUGGAACCACGAAGUAUGCCUGACACACAAUUCAGCCAUAAUCGACGGCAGUCUGAGCGUUCCGCGGGCCUGUUCUGGGUUGCGUGCGUUCAGUCUUGUGUCGGCGAUUGCGGUGCAUUUUGUAGUGUCAGUGCCAAAGCCACGUCCGAUCGGAUGACUGGAACGGUUGUAGUAUUGGCUGGCAAGAAGGUGGCCUGGCGCUUUCGGGCGUCCGGUGUUAUAGCUUGCUGGCUGGACCGUUGCCGAGUGUACCGAUCGGUGCAAUUUCUCUUCAGUGAGUUAUGUUGGUUGCUUGCCUGAGCGCGUCUCUCGUCGUCGGACGGUCGUUCUUUUGCGUCUUCGUGGCGUACAAAGGCGGCUGCUCGUGCGGUGUCUGUGCGUGUUCUGUGCAAUGGUAGCUCCCAACAGUGGCCCGAGUAGGUCGGUCUCCAUCCGACCCG
rnacentral:rRNA from 1 species